GUGGGGAAUCUUAGACAAUGGGGGCAACCCUGAUCUAGCCAUGCCGCGUGAGUGAUGAAGGCCUUAGGGUCGUAAAGCUCUUUCGCUGGGGAAGAUAAUGACGGUACCCAGUAAAGAAACCCCGGCUAACUCCGUGCCAGCAGCCGCGGUAAUACGGAGGGGGCUAGCGUUGUUCGGAAUUACUGGGCGUAAAGCGCACGUAGGCGGAUUGGAAAGUUGGGGGUGAAAUCCCGGGGCUCAACCCCGGAACUGCCUUCAAAACUCCCAGUCUUGAGUUCGAGAGAGGUGAGUGGAAUUCCGAGUGUAGAGGUGAAAUUCGUAGAUAUUCGGAGGAACACCAGUGGCGAAGGCGGCUCACUGGCUCGAUACUGACGCUGAGGUGCGAAAGCGUGGGGAGCAAACAGGAUUAGAUACCCUAGUAGUCC
rnacentral:rRNA from 1 species